GUAGAUCGAUUCGACGGUUCCCAAUCCAAUCCCCAUCCCUCGACCACGAACACGAGACAGGAGUGGCGGCGCACUCCCGCUGCCGACUCCGUCGCCGUCGCCGGCUCAUCGCCCGGCCUCGCGCCCCCGACGACCGCUGCUUCUUCCGUCGCUGGCUCGCCGCCACUUACCCUCGCCGACCGACGGCCGCCGGCCGUCGUCACCCGCUAGCCUCCGACGCCCGCUGGCUGCUGCCUCCGUCGCUGCCUCUCUCUGGAGUUACGUGAUGCUGUUUGUGCCCACUAAUUCCAGAACAUCCUGUAUUGGGGAUAGGAUGCUGACGGGAGUUGCGUGAUGAUGGUCAGAUGGUGAUGCUGAAGGCGGUUCUUUUUUGAUUUUGUCAGAUGGUGAAUCGGUGAUGCUAAUAUGAUGAAUCGUUCAUUUCUACCGUAUUAACCGUUCCAUUUUUGACGUCGCUCCGUUACCGUAUCAUGUCCGUUUUCCUGAAUUA